AGCUGUAAGCUGUCCGCGAGGGAGGUGAUCUCCUGGGCCGAGGGCUUAGGGCAUUUGAGGAAAUGGCUCUCCAGAGCCCCCUUGACGCUCACCUCGAUGGAGGUCCGCUUUUUCCGUUUGCGCCCUUGCGCUGCGAUCUUGUCUAUGCUGGUGGGGCUGCCCGAGGAUGAGUCUGCCUCUUCCAACCACUUGUUCAACAAAGGCUUCAGCUUGCACAUGUUCUUGAAGCUCAGCUGCAGGGCCUCAAACCUGCAGAUGGUGGUCUGCGAGAACACGUUGCCGUACAGGGUGCCAAGCGCCAGCCCCACGUCUGCUUGAGUAAAUCCGAGUUUGAUCCGC
rnacentral:lncRNA from 1 species